UCAAGUCAAGGCCCAACAACACACGGUCAAUCGGAUUUCAAGGGUCGGACCCUUAAACACGGAUGACAACACAAGUCCACCAUAAUGUGUCAUAAACCAUCCUAGCCAGCCUUCCAGACGAGAGAACCCUUAAGCACGGUUGGACAACACAUGGUCACCAUAACGUGCCGUAAAUAAUCCCUAGCCAACCUUCCAGCACGAUGAGGCUCAAACACGGCUGGACAACACAAGGCGCCACCAUAAUGUGUCGUGAACCAUUCUUAGCCAGCCAUCCGGCACGAGCCACAGCCUAGUUACUAAUCAUCCACCAUCACCGAAACAUCCAUUGCUUUUCUCGUAACCCAAUCGCGAUCCAUCAUAAAAAUAGACAAAACAACUUCAUUAGUUUUCCCUUAAACACCGUGGGCAGAACUCCUAGAUUUAGGCUUUUGGGCCAUGCAACGGAAACUCCGGUAAUUGGGCUAGCUUUAAUCUUCCUCAAUACUCUUCCACAGUGAAAUAAAUUCCCAAAUUCAAAACUGCCACUCUAAUUCUCCCCCCUUUAUCAGAGCUAUAUCCUCUCAUUUGUCGAUCACUGGAGAAAUUAAUGUCGCUUGAAACGAGAAAUCAGUUGCGAAAUCGCUUUCUCUCUCCUCCCUACUUCUCCAUCGCAAAAGCUAGGGUUUCAAGAGCUUACUAUUUCCUGAAAAAAGAGUGUUGAUAUGUAUGGUGAUCAAACAGAGUAAGAUUAAGCAGAGUGAUGAAGAUCAAUCUGCUAAUCUGCUAUGUGGGAGUUGUGAUGGCAUAUGAUGAUGAUGAUGAUCCUGAUGUAUGCACUUUUCUUGUGAAUUUAAUUAUGAAGGGUAGAGGAUGGGCCUCAAAGACAAGACUUUUCUGUUACCAAUGAAUUGCCUAACAUUAUGAUCAUCCGUACAACCAGUCAAACCAUAAUCCUGUGCAGGAAUCAAAGGGACAGGGACAACUUCCGCUCCAAGUGAAGUGUGCAAUACAAACAAGGAGUUCCAGGUGGCUGCGUUUUUUGCUUGCUCCCAAUGUUUCAGCUUCAAGCAGACCUAUAUAGAUCAUGACUUGUGCCAGGUAAUAGCCAAUUAUUGCAGCUUAUAACAUUUAUAGUUUAUGCUACUUUUAUAUCAUUUUGGAGAUGAAUAUACAUUAUCUUGGCCAAUGUGGCAUCCUACAUGUAGUAACUAGAAACUGCCCUUAACUGCUAUUUGAAUAGGACUGAAAAUAGGCCAUUCCGAAUUAGGGAAGCCAAUAAAAUGCCCAAAUCCUAAUCCUACUAACUUAAUUACCUUGGUAAUUUAUUGAAUGCACCGGGGAUGGAGCACUUAGCAUUGUGCUCCUGUUGGCACAUGGAGGCCCCCGUGAUGAUCAUGUGCCACCUCACACGUGCCAUGACCAUAAAUGUUGCUCCUGGGAGGAAGGUACAAGUAGUAAAUUACCCUCGUCCUCCCUAGUAGUGUUAGCCCAAUCUAUGAUUAUUUAUGGUUGGUUUGUUAGAAGUAAGUAAUGCGGUGCCUUCCCCCUCCCCACUUUUGGUUCACAUUCUCAUCUGUCAUUGUAAACCUCACAGGAAGCAAAGCAUAUAAGAGCAAUAAUAUUCCCUACCUCUAGCCUAUCUACCAUUCUUUGUUAUGGAAUCGUACUUACCAAUAAUAGCACUGGCUUGUAAUAGAAGAGAGAGAAAGAGAGACCAAACAGCGGCAACAAACUAAGGCCUAGUUUUCAAAUUGCUUCAUACCAAUUCAUCCAUGAUUAUAACUAACACCAGGAAUUUACACCUUUUAUUACUUCUCAUCCCUACCACAACUAGUAGAAGGAAAAUAUCUAAAGAAUCCAGAGUCUUAACAGUAAAAUAAAACGGGCCAUUAUCAUAGUAUUAAUCGAUAUUCAUGGAUACAUCCCCUGUUUAUUUCCCAAAUGGUGAGGCAAUAAGGGGGUACUAACAAAAUCUAGAUACAGAAAAGAAUGAACAAACUGAAACCAAAUCCAACUGGACACAGAUAUCGGAAUGUGAAAGAAAAAAAAAAAUUACACAUCC